GAAACUUUGCUGUUUCUGAAUGUAAAUCUGGUUGCUCUGAAGUAAGGAGCUUAUGAUCUUAGUUAAGUGGUUCCUCCCCUGGUCUGGUGCCUCAGGAAAAGGGAGAAAGCCUGCCUGCCUCCAACAACAUUAAGGGAAGGAUUGCCAUGAGGAGGGAAGCAAGCUAUCAGUUAAAGAACUCCUGGGGUCUGAUUCUCCACCACGUUGUACCCUGUGCCACCCUUCGCACCAGGACCACGCUACAUCAGAACAGGAAUGUUUCACACCUACUUUGCACAGAUGUGUCUGCACAAUGUGGAGGGAAUCAGGCCUAAUGCUUCCUUCUCCCAGUCCGUCCACGCUCUAGUCAUUUAUUCUUUAUCAUGCAUCCAUUCUGGCAAAGGUGCAAGGAUCAUACACAGACAAAGAUCUGGAACAGGAAAUGCCAGCAUGUCCUUUAUGAGCCGUGCUUUUUGCAUAUCAUUUGCAUAACUGACCUUUGCAUCAUACAAAUGGGAUCCUUGCACUUCUGCCUGUUGGAGUAAUCCUAGCUAGGAUUCACUGGUCAAUUAAGUUAGACCAGGAAUGAAUUUCCUCGCUAGAUCAUUACACUCCAAAGCCACAGCAUGUCCCCGGUGUUCAGCUGAGAAACCAAAAGAUAGCAUGGACAAGCCCAUACCACCUUCUCGGUGUCAAGGCCCAAGAAACCAGGGGAGAGACAAUGCAGGCAGUUUUCCUUUAAUGGACAGAGGUGACUGGCUGUUCACCUACUUAUGACAAUCCCUCCUUCCAAGCACUCAAUCCUGCAUUCCAUGCCACACCCACCACAUCCACUGACUUCUUUAGUACACCACGAGCAUCCGUGGAAGUUCUGGCUGUGUCAGGAAAGCAGGAAUGAGCCUCAAAGAGACAAAUGGCCAAAUUCUCUGUGACUGUAAACUGGGGUGCAGCUCCACUGAAGUCACUGGAGCUACACCCAAUUGCAACAGGAGAGGAUGUGAUUGUGUGUGUGUGUGUGUGUAUACAUACACACACACACAUAAAUAUGAAACCAUUCAAGAAACUUUUGAGACAACAUGCUCUGUCUUCUUUAGAGACACAGAGGCUGUGAUAGCAGCUGCGUUUUACCCCCACGCUCGAUUCACAAAUGGAAACAGAAUCUCGAAAUAAAUUAAAACAUGCGCACAACACUUUGUGUAGAUUGUAAAUUUCGUAGGUGCAAUCUUGGAAGGUCCACGUGCUCCUGAAGAGAUCAAAUGAAAGCCAAAGGAGAAAAAAACAAAAGCCAACACAAUGUGUUUCACCUGUGCCAGAAGUGUACGCGUUUCCUGAUUGGAACCAGAACUGGUAUCCACUGGCCACACGCCAAUGAUCGGCUGUGCAGAGGAAGCCAUCCUAAUAAUAAAUAGCAACCCCAAUUCUGCGUCUGGCUUGUCAGCUGUUUGGUAACGAGAAUGCAUGUGCAUCUGGUCUGGAGAAGCUGGUGUGAUGUGUACAUUCUGCUUCAUCAAAUAUGCAAGCUCUCCCGGGAGCAGAAACAUUAGAAUAUUCACUUGAGCUCCACUUCUUCCUCUUGCUAUUGAUUUCUUUAUUGGAUCCCAGGUAUGAGCUUUUCGCCAGCCUUGUCUUUAAGAAAAAACCUCUCCUCGCUCUAGAGAAAGUUUCCCGGUGGCUGGGUUUGAAGGCAAACUCUGCUCUGGAUACAAAGCUUUUAAAUUACAGUCCUGGUGGCGACUGGCAUGUAAAGAAAGCCUCGUGCCCAGAGACUAUUACGAUCAUGUCAUUUAAAAAACAAACAAACAAACAAACCAAGAACAUGUCAGUUACAGGCUUCUUCCAAACUCUCCAUCGCUCUCUCCAUCCUCACCUUCCAGGGCUUCACGGAGGAGUGAACAACCCUGGCUCAACAGGCCAUGCUCCUGGCCACAAUGAGGAUGCUGGAUGUGAAUACGGAUGGGUGCAGGGGGUGGGAAACCAGACUGACUGAAUGAAUGAAGACAUUUUAUGGAAGGCUCCAGUUUCUCCCCCAUCCCUUUCCUGUUUUCUCAGUAGGAAAAUGGAAUGCUGCCCCAGGGAAUCAGCUGGGGAGCAACACAUGCUCCAGGAAAUAAGUGAUGGAGUCCCAGUGCUUCCAGAGGAAGAGGAGGAAGAGGAACAACAGGGCGGUGCUGAGGAUGCGCAUGCGGGUCUUCAUGAGGGGAGUGAUGAAGUUGGCGAUGGUGGAGACGAAGACGAGCAGCACCGCCAUGAGGGCCAGAAUGACGUUGAUGAAUUUGCCCAGCAGGGCCCGGGCAUUGGCGUUCUCCACCCCUUCCAGCUGCACCACCUGCUGCUGCUGCUGCUGGAGCUCCAGCUUGGUGACACGGGUUGGCAACUGGCAGCAGGAUACAGGACAUCUUACCUCCCAGUCUCCCAGGUCGGCUGGCUCUUUGGUGGCUUAUGUGAAAUGGAUUUAGUCCAACUCCUUUCGAAAAGAGGUCGAUAUCACCACAGCUCCCAUCGCUGAGCCUAUCCUGUGCAGCACUGAGGGUAGGUCUACGCUGCAAUUAGAUACCUAUGGCUGGUCCAUGGCAGCUAACUCAGGCUCAUGGCACAGGGCUGUUUCACUGAGGUGUAGACAAUUGGGCUUGGGCUGGAGCCCAGGCUCUAGGACCCUGCGAGGUGGGAGGAUCCCCGAGCCUGAAUGUCUACACCGCAAUAAAACAGUCCCGCAAGCCCAAGUCAGCUGGCAUGGGCCAGCCGUGUGUUUCUAAUUGCAGUGUAGACAUACCCUGAGUGCCCUCAACUCCAGCUGGAGUCAAUGAGAGUGGAGGACACGUGACACCCCACAGCCCAGCGCCUACCAUCGGUGCUAGUGGUGGCAGACUCAGCAGAUAAAAUGGUGUCGAUGGGGCGGGAAACCGAAGUCUCCUCUCUGGAGAGGGUCUCUCCAGGGCAGGGCUAAAACAUACCAGCAGGGGGAGCAUGGGAGUAACCUGCGCUGCUUCCCCCCAUGUUGCAACUUGUCCUUCGGCUAGAGGAAUAUGGUGUCCGGGGCUGUCUACACCGCCCCUCUCAGGUGAAUGCAACUCACAAAGCUCUGCUCUGUCUCAGAUGCAUAGCAACCCAGAGGGAAAACCAACCCCGUUAUUAUUUUCUAAGCAAAAGGCCAGUACAGCUUUCUGCACCAUUAACAGGAAAUGCCAUUUAAAUCCCAGCAAACCUAAAUGACUGCCCAGUGGAUUUAACAGAGGGAUUACUGAAAGCCGCACUUUUUAUACAUGAGGAAAGCCUUUCACAAGUCAAAGCAAAAUUAAACUUCCAUUUGUUUCCCAUCAUUUCUUUUCCAAGGGCGGCUAAGGGGGAAAUGGAGAGUUAGUGUGCAUCUGGUGAGUAUGUGGGAUGCAGGAGGAAAAAUGAUUCUUAUAAACACAGUUUGAACCAGGAGAAUGGAGUUCGGCACAAAGCUCCAUCUAAUAAGCUGAGCAAACAUUACCUUAAAGGCCACAGCAGGAGCACAGUUAUGCAACGUUGAUUUACUAUCGCUGUUACGAUGUCACUGCAGUUUGGACACAGGAAAGCUGGAGGACAGAGGACAGAGCUUGGGUGGACAGCUGCUUUUGGGUCCUUAGCGAGCUCUCUUGAGAGCUGAGAACUUCCUGAAUCCCAGGAUUCUGUGCUGCCCUGUGGCCUCUCUGGUACAAUGGUUUGGGUCCUACUGUGCACUGAGCAUGCAUUCAUGAGUAGUCUAUAAAAUGACUGACCGUUUAUUAAAACAUCAGUUAAUCAACUGAAAGAGCUCCACAGGUUCUGUAGUGAUGGACACCUGUGCAAAAUGGCUUGUAAAGUGUCACCAUUCUGAUCCAGUCACACAGCGGUGCUUUGUGUCCCUUGAGGGACCAAGUGGUUUCGAUGAUAUAAUGUGAAUGCACCACGGGUCCUUGUGUGUAUAGUGAGGAACCUUUGAGGCUCUUUGCCCUCGAUGGAACAACCCCAAAGACCCCAAGAAUUACUGUUGCUGGUGCCUGCUCUUCCUGUAAUCAAUGCUACAUUACUCUUCCAUCGCGCUGCUCAGUUGAGGAUCUCAAAGCACUUCACAAACAUUAAUGAUCCUUGCAACAGCCUUGUGAGUUAGGUCAUUAUAAUUAGCCCUGUAUCACAGAUGGGUGCACUGAGGCAAAGGAGUUGAACAGAGAAUAGAACCCAGGAGUCCUGACCUGAAGUUCCUGUUGCUCUAACCACUUAUGCCACAUUCACCUCGCAGAGCAGAGAA